GAGAGUAUUGCUCAGUGGUAGAGUACAUGCUUAGCAUGCACAAAGUCCUGGGUUCAAUCCCCAGUACUUCCA
rnacentral:tRNA from 1 species